UACUUUGUCCUGCCCAACCAAACCAUACAAAAAUCCAGAAACAUUGUAAGGUGUUUGGUAUUGUAGUUGGAACUGUGUUUUGUUCCAACCACAAUUUCUAAUCGUUUGGUAAGCAUUUGAAACACAUGGAUCCCACUAACAAUUAAAUUUGUAUCGCUGGUUUUAUGAAGCAGAAAAUUGCUAGUUUUCAAUUCACUUUUGCCCGCCUGCUGCCAAGGGAAAGAAAAACUCAAGGGCCCACCCAAUUUGUUGUUUGCUUCCUUCCUUCUCAGCUCAAGUUGGAGUAUUUCAUUGGCAAUCAUCAUCAUCUGCACACUGCCAAGCGGAUUCACCUGACAAUGAUAAUGUGAAUAGUAACAGGUGAAUUAAUUCAUGGGUCACCGUUCUGUUUAUAUCAAUUUAUAUGUGUUUAACCAAAAAAAAAUUAAUUUUUUUAAAAUUAUAUUUUACUUGAAAAAUUAGUGUUUAAUAUUAUUUAAUAACACUAUAUAAAUUGAAAGAAUAUCGCAUAAUGACAUAGUAUUUGUGGAAUUAGAUCGCAAUUUCAAUUUUGUUUUUGAUGAUAUUUUACCUGAUUUUGUUGCACGCUCAAAAAAUCAUGAAAAUUGUAGUUCUUAUCGGAUGAAUUUCAUACAUGAUGAAAUUGUAGAUAAGUUAAUUGAACAAUUAAAAAUAUUUGAUAUAAAAUAUUAUUUAUUUAAUGAUAUAAUAAUAGUAGUUAAAUCUACAAUAUUUAAAUUAAAAAUCAUCAAUAUUAAUAUAUAUAUUUUUAAUUAUUUUAUAACCUUAAUUUAAAAAGCAUGUUUAAUCAAACAUAUUAAAAUAUUUUUUAUUUAAUCUUAAUUUUAAUUAUAUUUUUAACUAAAUAUAUAUAAAUAUCAUACCGAUCUUAAUUAAAAAUAUAUUUUUAUAAAACAACUCAUAGUACAACCACAAAGUUACUACCUUACCAAACAUUAACUCACCAUCAGAAAGCCGGCUCUUUUGACUCUUUCCUUGUUCUAGCUGUGUGCUUCUAUCCCUCUCCUUCUUAAUCCCCACUUCUUCAAGUCUUCCCUCACCAUCAGAGAGAGAUGUCCAACGUAAC
rnacentral:lncRNA from 1 species